rnacentral:lncRNA from 1 species
UGUCGGCCCUCGUAUAUCUGCUCUCCUGCCACUCGGCACUGACAACUAUCUGACGUAGGACUGCUUUCUUCUGAAAAAGACUAUCAAGUGCUAUGUAGUUGGCAGCAAAUCGUGUGAUACCCGAUCUUAAGAUCUCCCCCCAGUAUACGUCCGCAUCAAUGAAAGAACCCAUGUGUGGUUGUAGAUGAAUUUAGUAAUAGUCUGGGCAAUUUCCACUACCUGC